rnacentral:tRNA from 2 species
GUUGCGGUGGCCGAGUGGUUAAGGCGUUGGACUUGAAAUCCAAUGGGAUCUUCCCGCACAGGUUCGAAUCCUGCUCGCAACG